GACCUAUUGCAAAAUAAGCCAAAACAAACCAAGCUCAUGAUGACAUAGAAAUGGCAUUUAGAGACGUCCAAUCAUGCCUACUAACUGUUCUUUAUGCCUAAUGAGGCACAACGUUACAAGACACGUGAUCAGUCAAGGAAUACAACAUAAACGUUGCUGACCAAGUUUACUAUAGCUGUUCGUAGGCUUCAGACAAUCGUCACGAUGAAGCUCGUCUUGUCCAUCCUCUUGUUGGUAUCAGCGGUCAGUUGUGACGUUACUAACGAUCCGUUCAGCGCCGUUGUCUGCAACAAACCAUUUGAAGUUAUAUCACGAGACAACAAUAACCUUGCUCUCUACAUCAGAUGUCGAUUCUACAUCCCUCGAAUCGAAAUCUGUCCAAGAGAUCAGAUCUUCAGCCAACGCAAAAAGUUCUGCGUGUAUCCAGAGAGGCUGGUAAAGUCAUGUAACCCCAAGCCAUGGUCCGGCAUGCAGGUAUAAGACUGACCACUACGCCCCACUGAUCAAUGAUGUCGGUCAACAUUCAACAUGAAGCUGACCUACUUACAAUCUAAGGAAAUCCAAUCUUGGUAUCUUCAGCUACUUUCGUGCGACUCAUGUGUGUAAAUAAUAAAGUUGUUCGUCCUACGUU